AUUGAACGCUAGCGGCAGGCUUAACACAUGCAAGUCGAACGAGUGGCGGACGGGUGAGUAAUGUAUGGGAACCUGCCCAAUAGAGGGGGAUAACUACUGGAAACAGUGGCUAAUACCGCCUACCAUCCGAUGGUCCAAUAUGGGAUUAGCUAGUUGGUGGGGUAACGGCUCACCAAGGCGACGACCCCUAGCUGGUUUGAGAGGAGGACCAGCCACACUGGAACUGAGACACGGUCCAGACUCCUACGGGAGGCAGCAGUGGGGAAUAUUGGACAAGGGGCGCAAGCCUGAUUCAGCCAUGCCGCGUGUAUGAAGAAGGCCUUCGGGUUGUAAAGUACUUUUAGCCGGGAGGCGUUAUCCGCAGAAGAAGCACCGGCUAACUCCGUGCCAGCAGCCGCGGUAAUAC
rnacentral:rRNA from 1 species